GGCGUCUUCAACGGAGAAGUCAGAUACGGAGUCGGCGUCGGCGUCGACUUCUCCAGCUUCAACGGAGGAGUCAGAUACGGAGUCGGCGUCGGCGUCGCGCACGGCGGAAUCGGUGACAGGUGUCUCGACAUCUUCAGUUUCAACCGAGGCGUCAGGUAGGUGCUCGGAGACGGCGUCGCACACGGCGGAGUCGAUAACAGGAGUCUCGGCUUCUUUAGUUUCAACCGAGGCGUCAGGUAGGUGCUCGGAGACGGCGUCGCACACGGCGGAGUCGAUAACAGGAGUCUCGGCUUCUUUAGUUUCAACCGAGGCGUCAGGUAGGUGCUCGGAGACGGCGUCGCACACGGCGGAGUCGAUAACAGGAGUCUCGGCUUCUUUAGUUUCAACCGAGGCGUCAGGUAGGUGCUCGGAGACGGCGUCGCACACGGCGGAGUCGAUAACAGGAGUCUCGGCUUCUUUAGUUUCAACCGAGGCGUCAGGUAGGUGCUCGGAGACGGCGUCGCACACGGCGGAGUCGAUAACAGGAGUCUCGGCUUCUUUAGUUUCAACCGAGGCGUCAGGUAGGUGCUCGGAGACGGCGUCGCGCACGGCGGAGUCGAUAACAGGUGUCUUGGCUUCUCCACUUUCAACGGAGGCGUCAGCUAGGUGCUCGGAGUCGGCGGAGUCGAUGACGGGUGCGGAGUCGGCGUCGGAGCCGACGAGAGACGGUGGAGCUGAUCGGAGAUUCCCCAUGACUACCCUGGCAAGCAUAGAGAAUAUGACGACAGCUGCUAUCCCACAAACAAUACCUCCU
rnacentral:lncRNA from 1 species